rnacentral:lncRNA from 1 species
AAAAGACUCUGUGAUGUUGAAAUGCACUUGAAAAAAGUAGAUUUAUAAACUGAGAUGUUUGGACCAUUGGAAAUCAUUGUUCCUGAACAACUAAAUCACGUGCCUGGUGAAAUCACGACGAUGACCUGGAGUGCUUCUCUCUGGUGAAGAACAUCUGUGAUGAUUUGAAAGGAAAAAGCUCAUCCAGGACAAAGCACUUUCUUAGGAAGCAAAACAUUUUAGGACUGAAAUUUGGAGCCAUCUGGAUUACUUAAUUAAGGUAAUGAUUCUAGUAACUUUUAAAAAAUAAACUGAAACUAAUUUUCCUAUUUC